AUUGAACGCUGGCGGCAGGCCUAACACAUGCAAGUCGAACGAGUGGCGGACGGGUGAGUAAUGUCUGGGAAACUGCCCGAUGGAGGGGGAUAACUACUGGAAACAGUAGCUAAUACCGCAUACAAUCGGAUGUGCCCAGAUGGGAUUAGCUAGUAGGUGGGGUAACGGCUCACCUAGGCGACGAUCCCUAGCUGGUCUGAGAGGAUGACCACCAACGCUGGAACUGAGACACGUGCCAGACUCCUACGGGAGGCAGCUGGGGGGAAUAUUGCACGAGGGGCGCAAGCCUGAUGCAGCCAUGCCGCGUGUAUGGAGAAGGCCUUCGGGUUGUAAAGUACUUUCAGCGAGGAGGCGUUACUCGCAGAAGAAGCACCGGCUAACUCCGUGCCAGCAGCCGCGUAAUUC
rnacentral:rRNA from 1 species